rnacentral:rRNA from 1 species
AUUUUUUUUUCAGUAGAUUGACGCUGGCGGCAGGCCUAACACAUGCAAGUCGAGCGGUAGCACAGAGAGCUUGCUCUCGGGUGACGAGCGGCGGACGGGUGAGUAAUGUCUGGGAAACUGCCUGAUGGAGGGGGAUAACUACUGGAAACGGUAGCUAAUACCGCAUAAUGUCGCAAGACCAAAGUGGGGGACCUUCGGGCCUCAUGCCAUCAGAUGUGCCCAGAUGGGAUUAGCUAGUAGGUGGGGUAACGGCUCACCUAGGCGACGAUCCCUAGCUGGUCUGAGAGGAUGACCAGCCACACUGGAACUGAGACACGGUCCAGACUCCUACGGGAGGCAGCAGUGGGGAAUAUUGCACAAUGGGCGCAAGCCUGAUGCAGCCAUGCCGCGUGUGUGAAGAAGGCCUUCGGGUUGUAAAGCACUUUCAGCGGGGAGGAAGGCGGUGAGGUUAAUAACCUCAUCGAUUGACGUUACCCGCAGAAGAAGCACCGGCUAACUCCGUGCCAGCAGCCGCGGUAAUACGGAGGGUGCAAGCGUUAAUCGGAAUUACUGGGCGUAAAGCGCACGCAGGCGGUCUGUCAAGUCGGAUGUGAAAUCCCCGGGCUCAACCUGGGAACUGCAUUCGAAACUGGCAGGCUAGAGUCUUGUAGAGGGGGGUAGAAUUCCAGGUGUAGCGGUGAAAUGCGUAGAGAUCUGGAGGAAUACCGGUGGCGAAGGCGGCCCCCUGGACAAAGACUGACGCUCAGGUGCGAAAGCGUGGGGAGCAAACAGGAUUAGAUACCCUGGUAGUCCACGCCGUAAACGAUGUCGAUUUGGAGGUUGUGCCCUUGAGGCGUGGCUUCCGGAGCUAACGCGUUAAAUCGACCGCCUGGGGAGUACGGCCGCAAGGUUAAAACUCAAAUGAAUUGACGGGGGCCCGCACAAGCGGUGGAGCAUGUGGUUUAAUUCGAUGCAACGCGAAGAACCUUACCUGGUCUUGACAUCCACAGAACUUUCCAGAGAUGGAUUGGUGCCUUCGGGAACUGUGAGACAGGUGCUGCAUGGCUGUCGUCAGCUCGUGUUGUGAAAUGUUGGGUUAAGUCCCGCAACGAGCGCAACCCUUAUCCUUUGUUGCCAGCGGUUAGGCCGGGAACUCAAAGGAGACUGCCAGUGAUAAACUGGAGGAAGGUGGGGAUGACGUCAAGUCAUCAUGGCCCUUACGACCAGGGCUACACACGUGCUACAAUGGCAUAUACAAAGAGAAGCGACCUCGCGAGAGCAAGCGGACCUCAUAAAGUAUGUCGUAGUCCGGAUUGGAGUCUGCAACUCGACUCCAUGAAGUCGGAAUCGCUAGUAAUCGUAGAUCAGAAUGCUACGGUGAAUACGUUCCCGGGCCUUGUACACACCGCCCGUCACACCAUGGGAGUGGGUUGCAAAAGAAGUAGGUAGCUUAACCUUCGGGAGGGCGCUUACCACUUUGUGAUUCAUGACUGGGGUAAAGUCUAAAAAGGGA